GAAAUGCGAUAAGUAGUGUGAAUUGCAGAAUUUAGCGAAUCAUCGAAUCUUUGAACGCACAUUGCGCCCCUUGGUAUUCCAUGGGGCAUGCCUGUUCGAGAGUCAUUUCAACCCUCAAGCACUGCUUGGUGUUGGGCGUUUGUCCCGCCUACGCGCGUGGACUCGCCUCAAAGUCAUUGGCAGCUGUUCCCCUUCGGCUCGUAAGCGCAGCACAGUCGGCGCCCGGAGCUCUGGUGGGAUGGCGUCCAGCAAGCUAUAUUUUCAGGCUUGACCUCGGAUCAGGUAGGGAUACCCGCUGAACUUAAGC
rnacentral:misc_RNA from 1 species